rnacentral:rRNA from 1 species
CGAGGAAUUUUGCGCGAUGGGCGAAAGCCUGACGCAGCAACGCCGCGUGAGUGAUGAAGGCUCUCGGGUCGUAAAUCUCUUUUGUUGGGGAAGAAGAUCUGACGGUACCCUACGAAUAAUCCUCGGCUAACUACCUGCCAGCAGCCGCGGUAAUACCUAUGACGCAAGCGUUAUCCGGAUUUAUUGGGCGUAAAGAGCGCGUAUGCGGUCUAUUAAGUCAGUUGUGAAAUCUCCCGGCUUAACCGAUAGAGGUCAACUGAUACUUGGUGGGCUUGAGGACAGUAAAAGUAGGUGGAAUUCCCGGUGUAGAGGUGAAAUGCGUACAGAUCGGGAGGAACACCUGUGGCGAAGGCGACCUCAUGGGCUGUUUCUGACGCUAAUGCGCGAAAGCGUGCUGAGCAUACAGGAUUAAAUACCCUGGUAGUCCACGCUGUAAACUAUGUACACUACGUAUGGGGGGUAUCGACCCUCUCCGUGCCGCAGUUAUCGCUAUAAGUGUCCCGCCUGGUGAGUACGGACGCGAGGCUA